AUACGUAGGGUGCAAGCGUUAAUCGGAAUUACUGGGCGUAAAGCGUGCGCAGGCGGUUUUGUAAGACAGAGGGGAAAUCCCCGGGCUCAACCUGGGAACUGCCUUUGUGAAUGCCAGGCUAGAGUACGGCAGAGGGGGAUGGAAUUUCGCGUGCAGCAGGGAAAUGCGUAGAUAUGCGGAGGAACACCGAUGGCGAAGGCAAUCCCCUGGGCCUGUACUGACGCUCAUGCACGAAAGCGUGGGGAGCAAACAGGAUUAGAUACCCUGGUAGUCCACGCCCUAAACGAUGUCAACUGGUUGUUGGGUCUUCAUUGACUCAGUAACGAAGCUAACGCGUGAAGUUGACCGCCUGGGGAGUACGGCCGCAAGGUUGAAACUCAAAUGAAUUGACGGGG
rnacentral:rRNA from 1 species